CAUGUCAGCAGCCUAGUUAGCAGCCCCGGCCAACCAGGACACGCCGCGUGGCAAGGAACGCUGACACGGGACGGGCCAUGUGGGCGAUCCGCGUGCGCGCGAUCGGAUGGCCCAGAUCCGUUCUUGCGCGCACGGACGACCCAGAUCUAACGCGUACGGACGGCCCAGAUUCAAUCAAGCACGGACAGCCCAGAUCGCAUCGCGAUGGAUGGCCCAGAUUUAAUCCCAAAUAAAUCGCGAUCGGAUGGUCCAGAUUAAAACUUGAUGGACGGUUGAGAUUA
rnacentral:lncRNA from 1 species